rnacentral:ncRNA from 1 species
ACCAUCCUUGUCUUGGGUUGUGAGGCGGCUCAGUGAGCGUGUAGUGAGAGCGGCCCUGCUGACACCACAGACAGCACACUCGCACCACUAGUGCACAUGCAUUGGAAAGGUACAAUUUUUGGAACC